rnacentral:rRNA from 1 species
GACGAACGCUGGCGGCGUGCUUAACACAUGCAAGUGGAGCGACGAACCGGGCUUCGGCCCGGGGCAAAGCCGCGAACGGGUGAGUAUCACGUGGGUAACCUGCCCCGAUGACCGGGACAACCCGAGGAAACUCGGGCUAAUACCGGCUGUGCUCCUCGCACACCCGUGCGAGGAGGAAAGGAAGCGUCGGCCCCCCCCUCGCGAUGGGCCCGCGGCCCAUAAGCUUGCUGGGGUGGUAAAGGCGCACCAAGGCGACGAUGGGUAGCUGUUCUGAGAGGACGAUCAGCCACACUGGGACUGAGACACGGCCCAGACUCCUCCGGGAGGCAGCAGUGGGGAAUCUUGCGCAAUGCGCGAAAGCGUGACGCAGCAACGCCGCGUGAGGGAAGAAGGCCUUCGGGUUGUAAACCUCUUUCAGGAGGGACGAAGGUUCAGGCGCGAAUAGCGUCCUGGACUGACGGUACCUCCAGAAGAAGCCCCGGCUAACUACGUGCCAGCCGCCGCCGUAAUAC